rnacentral:rRNA from 1 species
UACGGAGGAUCUAAGCGUUAUCCGGAAUCAUUGGGUUUAAAGGGUCCGUAGGUGGACGAUUAAGUCAGGGGUGAAAGUCUGCAGCUCAACUGUAGAAUUGCCCUUGAUACUGGUUGUCUCGAAUCAUUGUGAAGUGGUUAGAAUAUGUAGUGUAGCGGUGAAAUGCAUAGAUAUUACAUAGAAUACCAAUUGCGAGGGCAGAUCACUAACAAUGUAUUGACACUGAUGGACGAAAGCGUGGGUAGCGAACAGG